GCCUCUGGGAGAAGGCAGAAAGAAGAGACCGAAGAUGAAGAUGAGGAGGAGGAGGAUCUUCAUCAGUUCUCAAACGCUUCGAGAGAGCGAGAGAGGAAGCCCGGCGGUUUCCUCAGAGAUCAGAUGGUGGCUCUUCAUCUCACAGUUCCUGCUGUUGACAGAAAGCUGCUCUACAUGUGACCUUUCACGGCGUCGCCAUGAGGCCUCGCUCUGCAGGGUUUCGUCGGACUGGAGGCCCUCCGUUCACUCUUACCUGCCCCGGGGAGCCCGAAGACCAGGAGCAGCAGGCCGGAGAGCCUCAUCGGGGACGGCAUGGCUGAACUACGCUUUCUUCAGGCGGCGUCGAGCAGGACACGGCAGACGAGGCUGGUGCGCUUCUGCGAGACUCGAAGUGGAACAGGAAGUGGGGAGAAGCCGAGUGCCAGGUGACAUGCAGCGACACACUUUGUCUAACGCACUCCCCCACACAGGAGGAGACGGCAAGCACAAAAGCAACACGCUUCACUCUCCACCUCCAGGAGCUCAAACAUCUCCAGAGAAACCUUCUGCUCCUCCUCUGGGUUCAUCUAAUUCAGCUGUGAAACAGAAACUUCAGAACAUUUCAUCAGAAUCCACACACAAACAUCAUGCUUUUUUUUUAUUUGCUUUAUCAGCUAAUAAAUCUAAACACACA